GCUCAGGACGAACGCUGGCGGCGUGCCUAACACAUGCAAGUCGAACGGAGAAUUUUAUUUCGGUAGAAUUCUUAGUGGCGAACGGGUGAGUAACGCGUAGGCAACCCGCCCUUUAGACGGGGACAACAUUCCGAAAGGAGUGCUAAUACCGGAUGUGAUCAUCUUGCCGCAUGGCAGGAUGAAGAAAGAUGGCCUCUACAAGUAAGCUAUCGCUAAAGGAUGGGCCUGCGUCUGAUUAGCUAGUUGGUAGUGUAACGGACUACCAAGGCGAUGAUCAGUAGCCGGUCUGAGAGGAUGAACGGCCACAUUGGGACUGAGACACGGCCCAAACUCCUACGGGAGGCAGCAGUA
rnacentral:rRNA from 1 species